AUCCGGGUUUUAUUCAUCGCUUUUCUUCUUGAAGAACGUUUGACAAGUGACGAUCUUGGAGCAUACUGGUCUGAGGUGACUGUUCUUUUCUUAUUUGGUGUCCGUGGAUAUCAACGCUGGCCACUUACGGGAAGAAGAGUGUCACUUCCUCACAAACGCCCGGUUUGUCCCAGUGGACAUCACGGCUUUGCAAAUCGAUCACCGUGUCCGUAUGAGUGAAAACCUCUACCUCGCAGGAAUUCAACAAUCUCAACUCUUCUCGUCUUCUCCCUCUUUGCACGGCGGCCGGGGGGCCACCCCUAGUGAAGGCGGUCGUCCCUCAGACCUCUCUGCUCUAGCCGGAGGAGGUUGGCACUUCACCUUUUCCCUGUGUGCAGUUCUCUCAGGGAACGCACCAGGAUCUCCAUUCUUCUUUGCCGAAAGCGAAGGAGAAAAGGAGGACAGAACCUUCGAAAAUGUUGACCAUCAGGAGGG
rnacentral:lncRNA from 1 species